rnacentral:lncRNA from 1 species
AAACCAAAAUAAAAAGCCCAACUUUAUAACAGUCCAAAUUAAUAGCCCGAUUGGCCUAACUAUUUUACAGACCUGAGUAUAAAGACCCAAAUGUAAAAAUAAUGGCCCAAUGGUCUAAUCUUAAAAUAGGCCCAAGCGACCCAAAUGAUUGGUUGCAGAAACUUAAUCCCUAGCCCAAGUUACAAUAGCCCACUGCUAAAACAAUCCCAAACGGCCCAAAAGGGCCCAACAAUUUGAGAAUACCAGAAACCCUAGAGGUUUCUAGAACAUGCUAGCACCGCAGCCACCCAGGCAAUCGGGCUUUCACGAGUGGUUUCCCACACACGGCCUCGCCACGUCAUGGUCUUCUCCUCCGUACAGUCGAACUUGCGAGAAGAAAAAAGAUAAGAAUAAUAGAAUGUAAAAUACAGUGAAAAAUAGCAAAAAAGGAAAGUUAGUUUUUGUAAUUUUUAUUUUACUCAGCUAUAAAAGCCAUCGUUUGUACUGUAAAAAGGACUUACGCAUACUGGAUACAAAUACAAGAAACCAUUAAAAAUCAGUUUUAGAAAGGUGAUUUUAAAUCUCGUUUUUUCUUUUGAAUUUGCUUCUAUUCUCUUUGAUUUAUCUACUGCAUGUAAAACAAAUAAAGAAGAGGGACUUAUCUUUAUAAUGGCCUUCGAAUCCUUGUUUGAUUCGUUAAAAUUAAAGCUUAAAUAGGGAUUAGAAGGAUAUGGCUUCAAUUAGGAUCGAGCUUGGCCUUCGUGUGACGCCAUCCGCCGACUAUGGUGGUGAAAUGGCGGUUAGGGUGAAGAACCGUCUAAUUCGGUCGAAGAAAGAUAGGAAGCUUAGGUUUUUUUUUGUGUUGAUUUUUCU